GCUGCCUGAGCUCCUAUUGGCUUCUUCACGACUCUUUACUGACUGCCUCAUGGUUCUGUUUGCCCAUAGGGCUUUUAAAGCCCUAAAACCCAAACUAUAUCAGAAUCAAACUCCUGAUUGGACUCUUGUAGCUUUUUGCCCAUCCGAUCAUGCCUCAGAUCAGAAACUAACCAUUGGAUCAUGCUCCAUCAUGACCCUACACAUCCCUGAUCUCCUCUGAUCCAUCCAAUCAUGACCGCAAGCACCCACAGUCACCCGAUCAUGUACCGAUCCUUAAGAACCCCACAUGAGCCGUGAGAAACCAUCUGGAAACAUUGUUGGUCCACCAUGGACCGUGAGAAACCAAGUGGAAAACUAUUAGAAAAUUGGGUAGGAUUGCAUGCAUAGAUUUUCAAAAAUUUUUGAAGUAGCAGCGAAAACUAUCUAGGUUAAACCCUUUAACCCCACAUGCAAUAGAUCUAAUUUAUAUCUACCUGAGUCUUGGAUUAAAAAUAUACAUAUAAUCGAAAAAUUAAAAUAAAAAUUGAGAUCAGAACUCAAUACCUUGUGCUGGUAAAAAUACACCAUAAUUGAUGAUCUUAGAUCUAAAGGUUCCUAAGCCGCAUACGUGUCCGGCCUCUACAGGUAUCCAUCGAGAUCAAUCUUGAACCUUUUUUCUCAUUAUAGAUCCAUCUUCACCAAAAUAAAUCUCAACUUUUUGAACUUUUGAUCAACUUUUGACUUUGACCGUGAUUUCAAUGCUUGAACUGUAGUCUUUCUCCCUGUUCCUUGCUGUAAAAGAAAUCACCCUCAA
rnacentral:lncRNA from 1 species